UCUAGCCUUAAGCCACUAAAUACGCUAAUUAGUUAUACUAUUUUUUUCUCUCUCUACUUUGAUACAUCUCAUUCUCUUCACAUAUCUCAUUAAAAUUUCUAAUCUCCUCCUCUUUUCACCGAAUUUAUGCAAAGUAUAAAAUAUUCAAAAGGUAACCAAACACUUUAUUGGUGAUAUUAUGUGCAAAGUAUGAAAGAUUCCAAACUGUUUGGAUCUAUGUCUUUUAUGAAUUUGCGCCGAUAAAGGUUCGUGUUGAGGAGAAUCAAAGGGGUGAAAAUUUUUAGGAGCAAUUUUCACAGAUGACUCUUGGGGUGGUGAAGCAAAAGCAUGAGGAUGGAGGAUUUGUGGAUUUAUCUUCGCCGCCUGUGAUAGUUGAUUUCGUGCCGACGACAGCUAUUUUCGGCAUGCAACAGCAACAGCUACAACCACAUCCGUAAUUGCAACCAAAACUUGUUAUUCCAUCUGAUUUGCCUUCCCCUAAUUCAGUUUCAAAUCAACUUCAUCAAUCCAGAGUAAUUUCUUCUGACAUCCAUACCACAACUUUAUCUUUCGCAAUGAAGAAGAAAUUUUUUUAAAAUAUAUUUCAAUGUAAUUUUAGCGUAUUACGUUGCAUUUUCAUGUAUUUCAUUGUAUUCAUUAUUUUUUUCAUUGUAAUUCAAUGUAUCUCGCUGUAUUUCAUAUAUUUUAUUGUAUUCUCUAUCUUUUUUUCAUUAUAUUUCAAUGUAUGCUGUUGUAUUGUAUGUAUUUCAUCGUAUUUACUGUCUCUAUAUAUGCCAUAAAUACAUUCAUAAGUUCCUUUUAAUUAA
rnacentral:lncRNA from 1 species